GUUAGCCAUGCAGGAGAGGUCGCAUGCAUCAUGUGCUAGGAGGGAAUUGGUCAGCCAUGGCCACCAUUAGUGCCAUGACAAACUCCCCUCACUGACUACUCUAGACUAACACUAGAUAAGGUGGGCCCAGGUGAAGCCUCUAUUGACAGAGGGAAAACCCUGGGUUCAUUCAUGCUGGAUGCAAAAUUAAUGUAUUAAUUAACAAGCAGGUUGGUUACGGGAACAGAAGGGUUGUUCUGGAAGAAGAGUUGGACAGAGUAAAAAAGCACUACUAAGCGAAGGUGGUGAGCUUGGACUGUUUGGUCCGUGUUCCCGCCAUGAUGCCAGCCAGCACACAUUCUUAAACUAGAAAUAUCAGUAUGAAUGUGUACAUGUGUAUGGGAUUAUUCUUGGGCGCUUCGCCAUUCAAGGUCUCAGGAGACCAAAAAAGUGGAAAAUCAGACGAUAAUUCGAGCCCUGCUGGGCCGAAACACGACAGUAUUUUUCGCCUACACGGAAGGACCUACAGGGAGGGCUACGUCGGUGUUGGGCGUUGUAUGUCAAUUAGAACCAUAUUAUACUUAAUAAUACUUAAUACUAUGAGCUGCCAGCUUAGGAUUGCAAGAACUGUGCUUUUUCGCUCCGCGCGCAUUGGCCGGCAGUCUGCGCGGCCAAUCACGCGCGACUAUGGCGGCCGGUGGGCAAGGAGCGAUUUCGGCCGCUUAUAUUUUUGUCUUACGUCCGGAUCAAAAUUUCCGAGCGAUACAGCAUGUGGGUUUUAACUAUUUACGCAUUUAUCGUAAAAUGUUUCUGGGGUUCGAAUGUAAAAGUCUUGCAAAGUUUCCGUGUCCGUUUCACAAUGCAAGGCUUCUGUAGGGUAAUACAUUGGAGCGUCUGUAGCUAUUCGAAUACAUUUAUUCUGAAUUCGCUGCAGCUUUAAUAAAUGUGUUUUCGCAGUGGUUGCCCAGACUGGGGCUGCGUACGUAAUAAUAGGGUGAAUCAGUGUUUUGUAGAGCACAGUAAACCGUUCGUUACUGUGCCUCCACAUCGCCUGCUCAUUACUGGAUAUAGUGAGCUUAGUCUAACCUCAGUUUGAAUUCUCUAGGCAUCUAUAUGAUGGUGCCAGAGAAGCUUCCUGUCCAUGUGGACGCCUAGAUAUUUUACGACGUCCUUGUGUGGAAUUUGUUCGCCAAACAAACGUAUUUAUGGCCUGUGUUCUACAGGUGGAAGAUUUCCGCGAGUAAACACAAUAGCUUCGGACAUCGUUGUGUUCACUUUGCUAAGCCAGGUCGUACACCAUUGCUAGCACACAGCUAAUGCAUCCGUUUUUUUUCCUAGCCUAAUUUAAUCUAAGCUAAUGCAGUCUGGUAGUGGCUAGGUGAAGUGUGUAUGAUCUGCUAUACAGAAACGUGUCGUUUGCAUAGCACAUAGCAGCCUAACUUCACUAGGCGGUGUUCGGGGCGUGGCAAAUCUCUAGAAGGCUAUAUAUGUUAAAUAGAACAGGGCCUAGAAUACUGCCCUGUGGUACGCCUGCUCUUAUUUGUUUGAUGUCAGACAUAGUUCUUUAAGUUGAUACUGAAAACGUUCUGUCUUCUAGGUAGGACGCGACUAGCUUGGUAUAGCAGACCAGGAAAUUAGUUUGAUAUAGUUUGUAUAGAUUAGCCCCGCGUGAUAAACUCUGUCGAAGGCUUUUUCUACGUCUAAAAACGUCGCAACUACAUAAUCUUUUACGUUGAAGGCGCUUGUUAUCUCUUCAGUGAGGCGUAUGAGUUGGUGCACUGUCAAGUGAUUACUGCGAAAAAUCGAAUGGCCUAAGUGUACAGGCCUGCCCGAUCCGCGGACGAAUAUUUUCACGUUCUGCGCGCAUACUUUUCGUUGGUGAUACUGCCGACGAGCGCGGGUUUGAAUGGUAGUUUGAUGAUAUGAAUUGACAAACUGCUAGACUGUGUGUAAUAUAGUUACCCAAAUAACACUAAAACAACAAAAAUGAAUUAAAUAAUAAAUAACCAUCUCUUUUAAAACUAUAACGUGUCAGAACUGAGUGUUAUUGUGCAAACAAAGACUAAUUUUAGCAAAGAUUAUUGCACGAAGUAAGGGAGGUAGGGUUAUAUGAAUGGUCAAAAUAAGUUUUUAUAGCAACUGAUCUUGAGAAAAUGAUUUUUUUGUUUGUGUAGGCCUCAACUUUGACAGCUGAGUAAAGUUUAUUUAAACAAAGGCACAGCAUUUCAAUAAGUGUUUUAUUUUUUAAUGAAUUUCUGAAUUAUAACCUUGUCACAAAUUUUUAUGUAGGAUACAUACAGAUGCAAGUUUAUUAUAAACUGAACUAUUAGUAUUAAUGUUUAUACGUUUCAUUUAGAAAAUAAAUUUAGCUCAUAUUGUUACAUGAAUUAAUAUAUCUGAUACGCUUACUUGCGUUAUUAAAAUAACUUGCAUUAACUUCGGAACAAUUGUAACGUGUCCCAAAUUUUCGGUUGUAAACGCAAACCAAAUAUUUUCAUUUAAUUAUAUUAUUAAUUGAUGUCAUGUUAUGUUGAUAGAACUAACAAAAAACGGCGAAAUAUAAAUUCAAAUUUUUGAUAUUCGUGCUUUAUUGUUUGGCUAUUUAUUUUGGCAAUUUUUCAUAGUUUAAGCACUUAUGAAAAUAUUUACAUAAAAUUCUUAUAAAUGUUUUUUGAGAUUCUUUAAUUAUGUGUGAUGAUUCUGCUAAUAGUUGUUGAGAUAAUUGAGGUAGAUUACCGGUAUUUUACCAUUUGUUUUGUAUUUUGUAUUACGUUAGCUACUUUUAAAAUACUUUUAAGUCAUUUGGAUGGUUGGUUAAGUUUUGUUAGCUUAAUUUAAAACAUUGUUUAAUCGUGUGAAUGGCUGGAGGGAUAAGGUAAUUUAAUUUCGAACACUGUUCAAUUAUUUGAAUGAUUGGUUGUAUACAAUAUUCAUUUAAAAUACUGUAUAUUGGUGUAAAUGUUUGGGUAAGUUACGUUAGCCACAUUAAAAAUACUUAACGGCGUUCUUCGGGAUAGGUGUUAUUCAAAAAACCAUUAAAUGUUCUUAAUGGAGAACCUUCUCUAGAAAAUUAGCAUUACUUGAAAUAGGGAUAACAAUCUGCAGGUAGAGAAGUAAAGAUUGUGUUAGGUAAGUUCCGGGAAGAGGAGUGGCAGAUUUUGCAUUUAAAACUGCAGAAUAAAAAGUACGAAUUUUUGAAAAAUUUAAAUAUUUAAGCUUUGUGAAACGAUUAAUAACCAUGCAACAUUUUUAAAUAAUCAAUAUUAAUAUUACAAGAGUGACAUAUUUUUAAUUAUAUAAUCUUGAUUUUUGAAAUAAAUGCUUUUUUUUUCGGAUGAGGUUGUACUAACCAGCGAAAUGAUUUUUUUUCCGUAUCUAAACUACCGCGUUAUUAUUUUCCUGCCUAGUAUUUUGUUAGUACAAUAUAUAGUACACAAUAUAUAGUGCACAAAAUAAUUUAUUACGGUUGUGGCAAACAACAGUUAACUGGUGUCACUGCUACAAAAGUUUAACAUUAUUUAGCCAAACUUGUGUUGUGAAUGUAUUACACUGAAAUAAAUAAUAAAAUCACUUCAGGCUAUAUAAAAAAAGAUUGUCAAAAUUAAAUGAUAUCGUAGCUUUCGUCCAUUCGAAACCUAAAUUGGGCGGAGACAAAACAAAAUACAGAAAAAAACUUAUUUUGUAAUAAAUGAGGCAAUAAAAUUAGUUAUAGGUAUCUAAUUUCUUAAUUUAUUUACUUGAAUGGAAAUAAAUUUGCCAUUAGAAUCAUCAUUUGUUGAUAACCGCCGUUCUAACAAAAUGUAAAACUCAGAUUAACGUAUAUUUCCGUAUACAUAGCCUACUUUAGCAAAAUAUCUCCAGAGUGACGUCACAAAUUGCUAGCCAGUGAAAGAGAAAGGUGCGCAAAAGGAUACAUAUAUAACUUCACGAUGAUUCACCCGUUAUGUUCACAGUUGACAGAACAGAAGAACGAAUGAAUAUCAAGCAAUGAUUUGUGUAACAUUUUCUUAAGUGUUAUGAGUACGUAAUAAAUAUUCUCGCAGAAACUGUAUGGUGUUAUGUAGGCUGAAGUAUCUAUUUAUUCGAUUUUUUAUUUAUUAGAAAACAAUUUGAUCCGAUUUCCGCAUAGUAGACGCAGCGUCGCACUGCGUGGCUGCGACUGGUUGAUAAUCGCUGGCUCCUCUGUGACAUUGUGGGCAUUGGUGAAUCAAGCUUGUCGUGAAUGUCAGUGCGCUUGCAAACUGACUCCCCUGCUGCAGCUCAUACACCGGUCGUCACUGGAUUCUGAUGUACUUUGUAAUAAUUAAGAUAGUUUCUGAACCAGAACAGUUGAUAAGCUACGGUCCUGAAUCAAAAAAGGUAAAUUUAAAAUGUGUCGUAACUUUAUCUUUGAGUCUCAUUUAGAAAAUGUUAACAUACUCACCUUUCAUUGUUAGGUACAUAUUUUUUUACACAAUCCCGCAUAACCCUGCAAGUUAUAAAAAUUCUUCCAAUGUAUGAAUUUCCCAAUUACAUACAUAUUGAUAAUGCCGAAUGUGGACUUUAUAUAUAUAUACACAUGCAUACUUACACAUAUAUGUAUAAUAAUUGAAAGAAAAUGUUUGCUUCAAUGUCUCCCCUAUAAAUAAUAAAUGAAUUACCUAUAUGAUUAAAUAUCCGUGUUCUUAGUGGAUAUAACUAGGAAAAUCUGCAUAAUUUGUAUGUAUUUUGGUAGUUAUUAAAAAAGUACAAUUAAACUUACAAUAUUAUGAAUUGUCAUACCUCUAAUGUUAAAUUUUACUCUUGUACAGAUAGCACACUGUAUCUAAGUAACAUAAUUAAGAUGUCACAGAUAUAAUAAUUAAUACUUAAUAAUUUUAUUCGACAAUGUGUUUCCGAUUCAUUUGACUUCUUGCAAAUGGGUUAUAAAUUAAGUAUAACUCCAGAGACGUACCAAAUUAGGUUACCUUGAAAAACUCAUGACGUCAGCGUGUAUGGUUUAUGUGUUAGGGAAAAUUUAUUCAAAUACUGUGUAUUAAAAAAGUGCAUGACAUGGUA